GAGACCUGUACCGGCGUCAGCGGAGCCUGCGGCUCUCGGGGUGAGGAGAUCCCGGCUCACCAAGGACGAUUGCCUGCCCACGCGGGCGUUCCCUUGUGACUGAGGCGGGAGCUGGCGUGCGUGGGUCUCUGUAGAGAAAAGCGGUGGAGUUGGAAUGGAGACGGUCUCCCAGCCCACCACUGGAAUUUCUCCUUCAUCGGUCUCUGAGUGUUGCUGUAACCGACAUCCUCACCAUGCUGUAACUGACUCAAGCUUAAGUUUGUUUCCUACUUAAGUUUUCCUUUUCAUUCACAUGGAUUUUAAUUUGUUAAAGUGCAGUUCUGCCAAGUUUAAGAAAAAUGCUGGGAAUGUGAGCUCACUUCUGCCCUAAGAACCAGCGUCUUCCCAUGACCUGCGUCCUAAAUUAGAGGACUUGGGUAUUUACAGAUAACCGGAGGUUGGAAGCAGGAAGGUGCUCACGCCAUGAACAGCUAACCUUGGCCUUCAAACGCAGAAGCUGGUGGCAUUUCUCCUAAAACUGCCCGAGAUGAACUAUGAAUCCACUGUGUUCUCAAGUAGCCUAUUUCCAAUUUAGGGCCAUAGCUAGUCUUUGGAAAGAGAUUUCAAAAUCCCAGUGACUAAGAGGCUGCAAAAGGAUGAUGGAUUGGACGUUUGGAACGUCCUUUCCCUCCCAUGCUUUCAGUGUAAUCGCUUACUCAGUUCAUCUCCCUCAAGUUUUAAGACAACCCUCCGACCUGGUAGGAAAGCUCGAAAGAACUGGAAGUGCCAGAGUUUGGAUGAUUUGUUGCUGCCCGCAGUAAUGAGGAUUUGAAUUGGUCUCAUCUUUGUUUUUAAGGAAACAGAAUCAACAAAUAAGUGAGAUGGCACUGUGCUAGGCAACAAGAACACUGCCAAAAACAAAAACACGGCCUGAGAAAGGUUUGAGAUAGAAGCAAAAAUAUAGUUGAUCAAUGAUGUCGUGCCAUAAAACAGUGCCAAAUGAAUUAUAUAAAGACAGUAAGUUUUUGUUGUUCUUUUUGUUUUGUUUUGUUUUGAGACAAAACAGGCCGUU
rnacentral:lncRNA from 10 species